CAGAGUAAUCUUAAUGCUAAAGGGUUAACUAAGUUUAAAACUAGUAGAAAAUUGUAUAUCAAACUAGAGAAUAUCAAUCUGUCACCUGUGGUGCCAGACAGAUGCUGACAUUUAAGAAAAAGUGAAAAAAGCAGUCUUGAGUUACUUUCAAUGUAUACCUUUGAAGCUAC